AGCGAACGCUGGCGGCAGGCCUAACACAUGCAAGUCGAACGAACCUUUCGGGGUUAGUGGCGGACGGGUGCGUAACACGUGGGAACGUGCCUUUAGGUUCGGAAUAACUCAGGGAAACUUGUGCUAAUACCGAAUGUGCCCUUCGGGGGAAAGAUUUAUCGCCUUUAGAGCGGCCCGCGUCUGAUUAGCUAGUUGGUUGAGGUAAUGGCUCACCAAGGCGACGAUCAGUAGCUGGUCUGAGAGGAUGAUCAGCCACAUUGGGACUGAGACACGGCCCAAACUCCUACGGGAGGCAGCAGUGGGGAAUCUUGCGCAAUGGGCGAAAGCCUGACGCAGCCAUGCCGCGUGAAUGAUGAAGGUCUUAGGAUUGUAAAAUUCUUUCACCGGGGACGAUAAUGACGGUACCCGGAGAAGAAGCCGCGGCUAACUUCGUG
rnacentral:rRNA from 1 species